CUGGAUUCUUGAAAUCGGAAAAGCAAAGUGGUUACAUUACUUCGUAUGUUUUCUUAAACUCUCGAUGACAGGAGCACCAAUUGUCAGAUUUGGGACAAAAUGCCUUACCAUAAUAUCCAUGUGAAGCCAAUCCGCACCAAAUUUAAGCAUUCGUUCGGCCUCCGAAGCUAAAUUAGCAAAAUCUGAGGAUAGCAUUGAGGGUGCGAUUUUCGCAGCGACUCCCAUUUUCGUCUACCUCGUCCUCGCUUAGCCGAUCAAAAACUGAAGCGAUUGAACUGCGAGGAAUUUGCAGAUACA